UGUUUCGGCUAGGGGGUCAUCCCGACUUACCAACCCGAUGCAAACUACGAAUACCGAAGAAUGUUAUCACGGGAGACACACGGCGGGUGCUAACGUCCGUCGUGAAGAGGGAAACAACCCAGACCGCCAGCUAAGGUCCCAAAGUCACAGUUAAGUGGGAAACGAUGUGGGAAGGCACAGACAGCCAGGAUGUUGGCUUAGAAGCAGCCAUCAUUUAAAGAAAGCGUAAUAGCUCACUGGUCGAGUCGGCCUGCGCGGAAGAUGUAACGGGGCUAAACUGUGCACCGAAGCUGCGGCAGCGACACUAUGUGUUGUUGGGUAGGGGAGCG
rnacentral:rRNA from 1 species